rnacentral:rRNA from 1 species
CAGUCGCCGCGGUAAUACGAAGGGCGCAAGCGUUAAUCGGAAUUACUGGGCGUAAAGCGUGCGUAGGCGGUGAGUUAAGUCUGCUGUGAAAUCCCCGGGCUCAACCUGGGAAUGGCAGUGGAUACUGGCUCGCUAGAGUGUGUCAGAGGAUGGUGGAAUUCCCGGUGUAGCGGUGAAAUGCGUAGAGAUCGGGAGGAACAUCAGUGGCGAAGGCGGCCAUCUGGGACAACACUGACGCUGAGGCACGAAAGCGUGGGGAGCAAACAGGAUUAGAUACCCCCGUAGUCCCUGUCUCUUAUAC